UGGGCGUAAAGGGCAUGUAGGCGGUAAGUUAAGUCAGAUGUGAAAUCCCCGAGCUUAACUUGGGAACGGCAUUUGAGACUGGCUGGCUAGAGUUUUGUAGAGGGGGGUAGAAUUCCAGGUGUAGCGGUGAAAUGCGUAGAGAUCUGGAGGAAUACCGGUUGCGAAGGCGGCCCCCUGGACAAGGACUGACGCUGAGGUGCGAAAGCGUGGGUAGCAAACAGGAUUAGAUACCCUGGUAGUCCACGCUGUAAACGAUGUCGAUUUGGAGGUUGUGGCCUAGUGUUAUGGCGUCCGAAGCUAACGCGAUAAAUCGACCGCCUGGGGAGUACGGCCGCAAGGUUAAAACUCAAAUGAAUUGACGGGGGCCCGCACAAGCGGUGGAGCAUGUGGUUUAAUUCGAUGCAACGCGAAGAACCUUACCUACUCUUGACAUCCACGGAAUUGAGCAGAGAUGCUUAAGUGCCUUCGGGAGCCGUGAGACAGGUGCUGCAUGGCUGUCGUCAGCUCGUGUUGUGAAAUGUUGGGUUAAGUCCCGCAACGAGCGCAACCCUUGUCCUUUGUUGCCAGCACGUGAUGGUGGGAACUCAAAGGAGACUGCCGGUGAUAAACCGGAGGAAGGUGGGGAUGACGUCAAGUCAUCAUGGCCCUUACGAGUAGGGCUACACACGUGCUACAAUGGCUCAUACAAAGAGCGGCGAGCGUGCGAACGUAAGCGAACCUCAUAAAGUGCGUCGUAGUCCGGAUUGGAGUCUGCAACUCGACUCCAUGAAGUCGGAAUCGCUAGUAAUCGUGGAUCAGAAUGCUACGGUGAAUACGUUCCCGGGCCUUGUACACACCGCCCGUCACACCAUGGGAGUGGGCGGCA
rnacentral:rRNA from 1 species